rnacentral:rRNA from 1 species
UUUAUCGGAGAGUUUGAUCCUGGCUCAGGACGAACGCUGGCGGCGUGCCUAAUACAUGCAAGUCGAGCGGACAGAUGGGAGCUUGCUCCCUGUUGUUAGCGGCGGACGGGUGAGUAACACGUGGGUAACCUGCCUGUAAGACUGGGAUAACUCCGGGAAACCGGGGCUAAUACCGGAUGGUUGUUUGAACCGCAUGGUUCAGACAUAAAAGGUGGCUUCGGCUACCACUUACAGAUGGACCCGCGGCGCAUUAGCUAGUUGGUGAGGUAACGGCUCACCAAGGCAACGAUGCGUAGCC